GAGACACUAGUCCAAAUAAGACAAUU
rnacentral:tRNA from 1 species